AGGGGUGUAGUAUUAAUGGUAAAACUGCGGUCUCCAAAACCGUUAAUGAGGGUUCGAAUCCUUCCGCUCCUG
rnacentral:tRNA from 1 species